GUGCUCACUUCGGCAGCACAUAUACUAAAAAUUGCAACGAUACAAAGAAAACUAGCAUGGCCCCUGUGCAAGGAUGACAUGCAAAUUCGUGAAGCGUUCCAUAUUUUU
rnacentral:snRNA from 1 species